rnacentral:rRNA from 1 species
CCUACGGGAGACAGCAGUGGGGAAUAUUGCACAAUGGGCGAAAGCCUGAUGCAGCAACGCCGCGUGAGCGAUGAAGGCCUUCGGGUCGUAAAGCUCUGUCCUCAAGGAAGCUAAUGACGGUACUAGAGGAGGAAGCCCCGGCUAACUAAGUGCCAGCAGCCGCGGUAAUACGUAGGCGGCUAGCGUAAUCCUGAAUUACUGGGCGAAAAGGGUGCGUAGGUGGUUUCUUAAGUCAGAGGUGAAAGGCUACGGCUCAACCGUAGUAAGCCUUUGAAACUGGGGAACUUGAGUGCAGGAGAGGGGAGUGGAAUUCCCAGUGUAGCGGUGAAAUGCGUAGAUAUUAGGAGGAACACCAGUUGCGAAGGCGGCUCUCUGGACUGUAACUGACACUGAGGCACGAAAGCGUGGGGAGCGAACAGGAUUAGAUACCCCGGUAGUC